GGCCGGAUAGGCAAGUGGCUAAGCCAAGAGUCUGCAAAACUCUCAUGCGCGGGUUCGAUUCCCGCUCCGGCCU
rnacentral:tRNA from 1 species